rnacentral:lncRNA from 1 species
CCCUCUUUGGUAUCAAAAAAAAAUCCCCAAAUCAGUGAACAUCAUCUCUCAAAGCUUACCCAAAAUCAGUGAACAUUAUCGCCUCAAAGUUGUCUCUCAAAGCUUAAGGUUCAACCUCGAUCAUUCUCAGCUCCUCUUGCAUCAUCACAUUAAAGGUAAUUUUGUUUUCUCACAUUAAGAGUAAAAAAGACAUCAAGUUUGAGCUUGAUUAGUGAUUUAUUUUUCUCCUCAUUCUUUUUCCUCCACUAUUUUUUGUGUUUGAUAAGAGGUGUUACUUUUAGCAAUCUACAUUUUUACCUCAACUAUUGUUAAAUGUUAAAACCUCCGGAAUAUCAUCUUGUAAAGAAACAAAUGACUAGCUUUGGUGGUGUGGUCAGUUUUGCGGCUGAUGGAGACCUCCUAACUACUGCAAAAUUUAUGGAUGCUCUGAGGAUACCCUAUAUUGUUCCAUCGUUUACUCUGUUGGAGCGGUUGACCUUCUUUUUUCUGAAGCUGAAUUCAGGGCAGGUUCAAUGCUUGCCCGAUUUUGAGGACCCUUUCCCCGCUAUUUGGCCUCAACGCUCCUAGCUGGCCUAGUCGGUGAAUAAACCUAUUGUUCAAGCCUGAGCAAUCCUCUUCGUCCUUGGGCAUUCGCCCUAACAGACUUAUUUAAUAAAGAAUAUAAUUCAGGUAUGGAAUGACAGUCGAAUUAUGGUAUGGUAGCUUUUGUCUUGCUAGCCUGCCUUUCUUCUCUAUGAGAAAAGGAAGUUACAAGCCGAAACUAUAAAGCGAAACUACAUUUGUAGAACGAUAAUGUGAAAAAUGAGACCGAGGACGGAUGCUAAAAGCAAGAAUGCCCGCAACAACAUAUUAGGCGCUCUUUCUACUAGUUCUAAUUGCUGUUUCAGUUCACUUCAUCGUUUGAGGAGUGGUGCCACUCUACGAUUAUAGUCAGCUAUUAGUGCGAAAAUUUCUCUUUCUUUCUUUUCUAUUAGUCGAUCGCUGGCGCCCCGAUCAGUUAGUCUUUCUAUUUCUUCCUCUAGGAAGUCUAUUUUCUUCUUAUACCGGUCCGCUAGCACGGCCCUUUCUUUUUGGUUAUCUUGUAGGAGCCUUUCGAUUUCCCGUUGAGCUUGAGCUGCGACUUCACCGGCUGGUACUUCUUCUUCUACCAUCGACCGUGGCUUCAUCUGCAAGGCUGUAUUCUGUUCACCUAGACCAUCCAUCGUCUUAUAGGCCGUAUCUCGGGAACCCCCUAACUCUUGAUCUCGCAUUCCCCUGAAUCAUGGCCCCUAAGUACUUGAAACUAUUCCUCUUACACACCACCUGAGAAUCCAACCUUACUACCACUUCGUCCACCUCCCUCGAGACAUUAAACUUACAUUCCAAAUAUUCGGUCUUACUCCUACUUAACCUGAACCCUUUAGACUCAAGGGUCUGUCUCCACACCUCUAAUUUAUCAUUCACACCCACCGAGUCUCGUCAAUCAAAACCACAUCGUCUGCAAAAAGUAUACACCAGGGCACUUCGCCUUGGAUACGUCGCGUCAACACAUCCAUAACCAAAGCAAACAAAAACGGGCUAAGAGUAGUUAAUAAUAAAAAAAAAAAAAAAAAUAGAAGUAAAAGUGAAAAUCUAUUUUAAAAAAAUGAACAAAUAAAAGUGAAAGAAGAAAGUCAUACACACAUAAAUAAAUGUGUGCACUAGAUAAUUUAUUAAUUAUUUAAAAUAAGAAGUAAUUUUUAAGUCAUUUUCAAAUAAUAUAUACUUCUUCAAUUUCUUUAUGUGACAUUGAUAAAAUUUCAAGUCAAAUUAAAUUUGAAUCAAGCAUUUUAAUUUGCUAAAAUAGUUUAAAUUUUAGUUAUUAUAAUUUAUUGUACAUUUUAUGUGUAUAACUAAUUAAAAGAAAAAUAAGAUAAACAAACAAUGCUACAAGUACAAUUCCAUAAGCACAUUCACUCUGUUUUGAUUUUAAACAAAGGCUCAAUUACUCUGCAUCAUCAUAUUCGACCUUAUUUCCCCUCUUUGGUAUCAAAAAAAAAUCCCCAAAUCAGUGAACAUCAUCUCUCAAAGCUUACCCAAAAUCAGUGAACAUUAUCGCCUCAAAGUUGUCUCUCAAAGCUUAAGGUUCAACCUCGAUCAUUCUCAGCUCCUCUUGCAUCAUCACAUUAAAGGUAAUUUUGUUUUCUCACAUUAAGAGUAAAAAAGACAUCAAGUUUGAGCUUGAUUAGUGAUUUAUUUUUCUCCUCAUUCUUUUUCCUCCACUAUUUUUUGUGUUUGAUAAGAGGUGUUACUUUUAGCAAUCUACAUUUUUACCUCAACUAUUGUUAAAUGUUAAAACCUCCGGAAUAUCAUCUUGUAAAGAAACAAAUGACUAGCUUUGGUGGUGUGGUCAGUUUUGCGGCUGAUGGAGACCUCCUAACUACUGCAAAAUUUAUGGAUGCUCUGAGGAUACCCUAUAUUGUUCCAUCGUUUACUCUGUUGGAGCGGUUGACCUUCUUUUUUCUGAAGCUGAAUUCAGGGCAGGUUCAAUGCUUGCCCGAUUUUGAGGACCCUUUCCCCGCUAUUUGGCCUCAACGCUCCUAGCUGGCCUAGUCGGUGAAUAAAC